rnacentral:tRNA from 1 species
AGGCCAGUAGCUCCAACGGUAGAGCGCCGGUCUCCAAAACCGGAAGCUGCAGGUUCGAGUCCUGCCUGGCCUG